UUUAAAUUAGGUGGCAGAGAGAGGGGAGACUUCCAAUCUAUAUAACUUUGGAAAUGAGUGGAGUGUGUAAAUCCAAAGGCAAAGGAAAUUCAAGGAAUGUGGAAAGCCCUUUUUAAAAGUUAUUUUCAAGAUUGGUGUGAAGAUGGUGGCAUAAGCAGACACUGAACUCACCUCCUCCAGUGGACACAACCAAUUUACAACUAUUCUUGGAACAAUAACCCUGUGAGAGAACAGAAAACUGGAUAAAAAAGACUCCCCCCCAACAAGAGACAGUCCUGACUGAGGUGAAAGAGGCAUAAAUUCCUUCCUAAAGAGAGAAAAAAAUGCCACCUCACAAGCCACAGCACUUCAUGGCCAGCCGGGAGCAAUCCAAAGUUGUGCAAUAUUCCCUGGAUGAGUGGGGGACCUGAGCGGGGGAAGUGUUACCAUUGUUAACAGAGGGACUCUGCUGAGCAGUAUGACAGAUUUCCUGCAUCACCACGGCAUUGGGCAGAGAAGGUGGCAAAAGGCACUCUGGUCUUUCAAGUUUCCCCACGUAAGGAGCACAUUUCUGUUUACAUGGCAUCGACCAAAGCAAUUCCCAUGGUUACUACAAACUCUGAAGAGUGCUGGAGAGUUCAACUUUUC
rnacentral:lncRNA from 1 species